GACGAACGCUGGCGGCGUGCUUAACACAUGCCAGUCGAACGGAAAGGCCCUUCGGGGUACUCGAGUGGCGAACGGGUGAGUAACACGUGGGUGAUCUGCCCUGCACUUUGGGAUAAGCCUGGGAAACUGGGUCUAAUACCGAAUAGGACCACGCGCUUCAUGGUGUGUGGUGGAAAGCUUUUGCGGUGUGGGAUGGGCCCGCGGCCUAUCAGCUUGUUGGUGGGGUAAUGGCCUACCAAGGCGACGACGGGUAGCCGGCCUGAGAGGGUGACCGGCCACACUGGGACUGAGAUACGGCCCAGACUCCUACGGGAAGCAGCAGUGGGGAAUAUUGCACAAUGGGCGCAAGCCUGAUGCAGCGACGCCGCGUGAGGGAUGACGGCCUUCGGGUUGUAAACCUCUUUCAAUAGGGACGAAGCGCAAGUGACGGUACCUAUAGAAGAAGCACCGGCCAACUACGUG
rnacentral:rRNA from 1 species